UUUUGAACCCAUUUUAAAACCCAAAACUCAUUCCCUUUGUCUGUCAUUUUUGAGUUUGCCGCAGCCCCCUUUCCACCAUUUCAGACCCAUCUCCGAUCAACUACAACGACCAUGACGGCACCACGACGGAGCGCUACCGCUGGAUGAACGUGCACGGCGCUAGGGGAAACGGCAGUUAUUGCGACGUGGGAGUGUGUACAGCGCUGGUCUGCUGCUUGCUGUUGGAGUUUGCUGUUUUUAUUUUUUGGGGGCUGUACAGUGUUAUUAGUUUGGGCCUUAUUGGGCCUCGUUUUUAAUUGGGUUUGGUUGUAAUUUGGGUUUUGGGUCAAUUUUAGUGAGUAUAGUUGGGCCCGGGCAAUAAUUGGGUAUUAUAGCAUUCAAGCUAUUCAAAUCAUCAACCAAGUCAUUUCCUUAUUCAAAA